rnacentral:RNase_P_RNA from 1 species
GGAGUGGAUCGGAUGAUCGCUGGUUUGCGUAGCAGACGAGAGGAAAGUCCGAGCUCCACAGGGCAGGAUGGUCGCUAACGACGACUGGAGGCGACUCUAAGGAAAGUGCCACAGAAAAGAUACCGCCCGAUUCCAUCGGGUAAGGGUGAAAAGGCGAGGUAAGAGCUCACCGUUUUCCGGGUGACCGGAAAAGCUUGGUAAACCCCAUCCGGAGCAAGACCAAAUAGGAGAACAUUUAGAGUGGCCCGCUCGACGUUCUCGGGUAGUGUCGCUUGAGGCAGCAGGCAACUGUUGUCCUAGAUGAAUGAUCAUCGCCAUAAUCCAGGCAACUGGAAGAUGGAACAGAACUCGGCUUAUGAUCUGCUCCAACC